GAGGUGGGGGGAUUGCUUGAGUCCAGGAGUUUGAGGCUGCAGUGAGUCAUGAUCACACCACUGCACUCCAGCCUGGGUGACAGAGCAAGACCUUGUCUC
rnacentral:miRNA from 1 species